ACCCACGACUCUUCAUGGAGCUCUGGCUGAAUUGGGUUUUCCUUGUUGCUGUUUUGAAAGGUGUCCAGUGUGAGGAGCAGCUGGUGGAGUCUGGGGGAGGCUUGGUGCAGACUGACGGAUCCCUGACACUCUCCUGUGCAGCCUCUGGAUUCACUUUCAGUGACUACUGGAUGAGCUGGAUCCGCCAGGUUCCAGGGCAGGGGCUGGAGUGGAUCAUAGACAUUAGGUACGAUGGUGCCACCGUAUACUACGCAGACUCUGUGAAGGACCGAUUCACCAUCUCCAGAGACAAUUCCAAGAACACGGUGUAUCUGCAAAUAACGGAACUGAAAACCGAGGACACGGCCAUGUAUUACUGUGCGAGAGAGACACAGUGA